UAGACUAUAUAAUGUCACAGAAAGAUCUAACGGAGAUAAUAGAGAAAUAUUUGUAACUAUUGCCAACACCACUCUUGACGAUUCUGGUAUCUACAGAUGUCAAUUACACUUGAUAGAUAUUUUCCAUGAUGACAUAUACCUCACAGUGUUGGUACACGCUGAUGUUCAAACACCCAAAGAGCUAACACCAGAGAAGCAAAGACCAACAGUACAAAUACCAGAGAAGCAAAAGCCAGAGAAGCAACCAUCAGGGGGUAUAACACCAAUACAGGAAACUGAACAUCACAUAUCAAAAGAACAAACAACAAACUGUCAAAUACCGGAUCAACAAACAACAAACCGGCAAAUACUUGAACAACAAACAACAAACCAGCAAAUACCGGAACAACAAACCACAAACCAGCAAAUACUUGAACAGCAAACUACAUAUCAGCAAAUAAAGGGACAACAAACCACAAACCAGCAAAUACAUGAACAACAAACAACAAACCAGCACAUAUCAGAACAACAAACAACAAAGCAGCAAAUACCGGAACAACCAACCACAAACCAUCGAAUACUUGAACAACAAACAACAUACCAGCAAAUACCGGAACAACAAACAACAAAACAGCAAAUACUUGAACAGCACCCAACAAACCAGCAAAUACCAGAUGACCAAACCCACGUAAAAGUUCCUCUGGGCGCCAUUAUAGCACUCAUCAGCCUUUUUCUGGUUAUUGUCAUCAUACUCCUAUUGAUUGUUAUACGGAAAUCUUAUGUUCAAUAUUGCUCAACCUCCAGCUCUGCGACACCCAGUACGAACGUUUAUUGUGAACCUUACGAAAUCAGAAACCGAGAAUCGUUGACUGAACCUAAUAUACCGAACCUCAACCUAGCUGAUACAGAAAGCCUAUCUGACAUUAGAGUACAGGGACCGUCUCGUGUAUCCGAGUCCUCUCCCCUAGCAACCGGGUAUCGAUCACCCCGGCCACCUGUAUCAAUCCAAUCCACGACUGGCACGGGAACUCACUACCCUAAAUUACCCCAACACCAAGAACAUACCCCUUCUCCAAAAAUGUGUUUACCCAAGGGUCUGGAAGUAGAAGAUGACGAGGGUUUGGUUAAAACCGUUCAAUUAACAACUAUCUCCACCGUAACUCGGUCUGUCUCUUAUCGAAAGGCUGCAGAGAGAUCUGCCAUCCAUAAACAAACCACAGAUUUUAUGCCAGAAACUAUCGACGCUGGUUUUCAGACUGCAAUAGAUAAACAUAUAUUUAGUGAUGAUUCACGUGAAACAUGUUUUGAUUCUAAAC